rnacentral:rRNA from 1 species
GAUGAACGCUGGCGGCGUGCCUAAUACAUGCAAGUCGAGCGAACAGACGAGGAGCUUGCUCCUCUGACGUUAGCGGCGGACGGGUGAGUAACACGUGGAUAACCUACCUAUAAGCCUGGAUAAAUUUCGGAAACCCGGACUAAUACCCGGUAAAUUAUUUGAACGCCAGGGUUCAUUGUGAAAAGCGGGUUUUCUUUUACUUUUAGGUUGAUCCGCGCCGCAUUAGCUAGUUGGUAAGGUAACGGCUUACCAAGGCAACGAUGCGUAGCCGACCUGAGAGGGUGAUCGGCCACACUGGAACUGAGACACGGUCCAGACUCCUACGGGAGGCAGCAGUAGGGAAUCUUCCGCAAUGGGCGAAAGCUUGACGGAGCAACGCCGCGUGAGUGAUGAAGGUCUUCGGAUCGUAAAACUCUGUUAUUAGGGAAGAACAAAUGUGUAAGUAACUAUGCACGUCUUGACGGUACCUAAUCAGAAAGCCACGGCUAACUACGUG